rnacentral:rRNA from 1 species
AAUGAACGCUGGCGGCGUGGAUUAGGCAUGCAAGUCGAACGAGAAAGUGGCCUUCGGGUCAUGAGUACAGUGGCGAACUGGUUAGUAACAGGUGGGAAACGUACCCCUAGGCCUGGGAUAACUGCUGGAAACAGCAGCUAAUACCGGAUGGUGUUUCGGGAGCUUUGGCUCUUGAGACUAAAGAUGCUUCGGUGUCACCUAGAGAUCGUCCCGCCCCUGAUUAGCUUGACGGUGGGGUAACAGCCUACCGUGGCGACGAUCAGUAGGUGGUCUGAGAGGAUGGUCACCAACACUGGGACUGAGAUACGGCCCAG